rnacentral:rRNA from 1 species
UACGUAGGGCGCAAGCGUUAUCCGGAAUUAUUGGGCGUAAAGAGCUCGUAGGCGGUCUGUCGCGUCGAUCGUGAAAACUUGGGGCUUAACCCUGAGCUUGCGGUCGAUACGGGCAUGACUGGAGUUCGGCAGGGGAGACUGGAAUUCCUGGUGUAGCGGUGAAAUGCGCAGAUAUCAGGAGGAACACCGGUGGCGAAGGCGGGUCUCUGGGCCGUAACUGACGCUGAGGAGCGAAAGCGUGGGGAGCGAACAGG